rfam:TPA: Bos taurus chromosome 1, whole genome shotgun sequence.
UUCCUGAUGGUCCGGUGACUAAGACUCUGUGCUCCCAAUGCAGGGGGCGCAGGUUCGAGCCCUGGUCAGGGAA